CCUACGGGUGGCAGCAGUGGGGAAUAUUGCGCAAUGGGCGAAAGCCUGACGCAGCGACGCCGCGUGAGGGAUGAAGGUCUUCGGAUCGUAAACCUCUGUCAGCAGGGAAGAACGGUCACUGUGCUAAUCAGCAGUGAAUUGACGGUACCUGCAAAGGAAGCACCGGCUAACUCCGUGCCAGCAGCCGCGGUAAUACGGAGGGGGCGAGCGUUAAUCGGAAUUACUGGGCGUAAAGCGCUCGUAGGCGGUAUGUCAAGUCAAGGGUGAAAUCCCCGCGCUCAACGUGGGAACUGCAUUGGGAACGGGCAAACUGGAGUGUGUGAGAGGAUAGUGGAAUUCCAGGUGUAGGAGUGAAAUGCGUAGAUAUCUGGAGGAACAUCAGUGGCGAAGGCGACUAUCUGGCACAUAACUGACGCUGAGGAGCGAAAGCGUGGGUAGCAAACAGGAUUAGAUACCCGAGUAGUC
rnacentral:rRNA from 1 species